UUGACUGCAGUAUCUUAUGCGCCUUAUAAUCCGGUGCACCUUAUAGUGCGGAAAAUACGGUACUGUACUGAGAAAAACUGUUGUUGAAAAACUAGACAUGUCUUGUUGUAAGGAACUGAAUGUAUUAAAUGUAGCCUAUUGUUUUAUUAACUGCCUACUCUCCUAAGGAGUCAAAAAGUGUUCUGAGUACAAUUUAUGAAUAUUGAAUGAAAGGAAGGCUUGAUCCCAUUUGUGUUCAUCUAAUAAGCUAUACAAUUCUGCUUGGAGCAUCUUUUUUUACACACAAUGUAACAUUUCUACUUUUGUUCUAGGCAUACAAGUGCACCUGAAAUAAUUGAAAAUUUGGGGCUUCCCAUGGACCACAGCAAAGUCAGCAGAUUCACCGUGUCCAGAUCUAAUCUAAAGGUUUUCAGCGUUGCACGUACUCCGAGGAGAAUGACAUGUUUGUGGAGUUUACCGAUGAUGCUGGCUCCCAUGAAGAAGGUGUAGAUACUGGCGGACCGAGGCGGGAAUUCCUCACGCUUCUGAUGAAUGAUCUUUGACGGACCUCCAGAAAGCCGUUACCUGGUGUACAACUGUACAGGUCCAGGAAGCAGAAUCUGUGGAAUCUCCAUGCAAAAUGUUCUUUUGCAAAACAGCGCAUGUUCCAGACUGCUGGAUACUUCCUCCAUGUGAAGACCUCUGAGGACCAGCAAACUCUUGUGGAGGAAUACCUCAGAUGGUAUAUUCUACACAGAAACCAGAGUGUUAUUCAAAGGUAAUAGUCCUAAAAGACUCAUCCUCUGCCUCCAUUCAUCAAAAAUAUUUCAAUCACAUACUUUCCAGUCCCAUGACUUAUCACUUGAAUACUUUAAAAGUGGCUACAAAUAAGAUUGUCUGACAUUCACAAAUGGUAAAGUAUGUUUAGUGAAAAGCUUGUUUGUCGGUUGAGUGUUUUGAGUUUUCAGUCCCAGGAAGACUGGUAACUUUUAACUCUGGUAUAGUUACCAGGGUAACUAAAACCAUAUGGUAAUUGUUCCUUUCCGCACUCCAGCAGCAUCCGUGUGUGUUGGCCCCACUCUUGUGCCACUCUCAGACAAACCUUACAGCUGCCGACAUGAAAAGCCUGUUCACACCACUGCUCAGUCCAACAGGAAGUAAUAGUCGGCAGAAAGAAGACAAAGCCCUUGGCUUUUGGGCAGAUAGCUUUUUUAUAUGGUGUUUGUAAAAAGUGAACCUUUUUUUUCACACUGUGUUAACUUAAUUUACUUGUUGGACGAUAAAGACACUCAGACACUCUGAAAAGGAGACUGCUGUGUCCCUGGAGGAUGUGCUGAUGUUUGCUACAGGGCUCGCAUCAACACCAAAAAAACAGCCAUCGAGUUCUCAAGAAAUUCACCAUUUCCCAUGUCAAACACUUGUGCAAAUAGACUGAAGCUCCCUCUCCUUGAAACCUACAGUGUCUUUAAGACAAACAUGGAGUUUGACUUACAGAACCCUCCAGGCUUUGGGUGCAUUUAAUUCUGUGCCAUGUCUGGAUUUUUGUCAUGUCUUUGAACAUGCAGUUCAUAAAGCAUACAAAGAGUGCAUGCUCAGUUCAGUUCCAAGUUUUUGAAUGAUUGUUAUUGCCGUUCUUUACUUAAGUGAACCUGAUCAUCAAUAAACAGCUAAGCCACA